GACGAACGCUGGCGGCGUGCCUAAAACAUGCAAGUCGAACGGCAGCACGGACUUCGGUCUGGUGGCGAGUGGCGAACGGGUGAGUAAUACAUCGGAACGUGCCCAGUUGUGGGGGAUAACUACUCGAAAGAGUAGCUAAUACCGCAUGAGAACUGAGGUUGAAAGCAGGGGAUCGUAAGACCUUGCGCAACUGGAGCGGCCGAUGGCAGAUUAGGUAGUUGGUGGGAUAAAAGCUUACCAAGCCGACGAUCUGUAGCUGGUCUGAGAGGACGACCAGCCACACUGGGACUGAGACACGGCCCAGACUCCUACGGGAGGCAGCAGUGGGGAAUUUUGGACAAUGGGCGAAAGCCUGAUCCAGCAAUGCCGCGUGCAGGAUGAAGGCCUUCGGGUUGUAAACCGCUUUUGUACGGAACGAAAAGCUUCGGGUUAAUACCCUGGAGUCAUGACGGUACCGUAAGAAUAAGCACCGGCUAACUACGUGCCAGCCGCCGCGGUAAUAC
rnacentral:rRNA from 1 species